CGCUAACCUACACUUACCAAGGGUUUCGUGUUUGAUCAGGCCAUCGAACAGAGAAGCGUAACAGUACUGGAGAAAUUUAACUAACUUAACGUUAAAUUAACAUCUACUAGAACACGCAUGGCUGUUCAAAAAAUUAGGUUUUGACAGGCUAGAUCCAGUGCAGGCCAUCCACCCAGGAAAACACCAUGGACUCUCUUCUUCUGGGUAUUAGCUCUCGUCACUCUUUGGCUGUGCACUUUGCAGCUCCUCGAUCAGUGCUGGAAGAAAAAAAAAACCCAGAGAAAUACAUUGAGCUGGCCAGGAGAAGCAGCAGAAAAAAGAGAAGCACUGAGACACUGAAGGAAACAGAAUAGCAGCAAUCAGAAACUAAAGGGAUAAAAAUUCUGAAGAUACCAUCACCCCACCCUGUGCAACGAUGGAGAGGUCCUUGUGUGACAGGCUGUUUCACCCGUACCACACCCUUCACGUGUUUGAAGAAGUUAAGUCGCAGGUCAUGUCUUCCUGCUGCUGUUAGAUUGUACAACCAGCGCUGCUCCCAUUAGACCACACACACAAACACACACUAAAUUGACUUCAAACUGUGAUAUUUCAUUAUCCAAAUGUGCUGUUUCUGCAUCUCAAUAUGAGAUGGUGUAAGUAUUCUUCUCAGUGUGCAAUAGUCUUUAUCUUUUUUUUGUGUGUGUAUAAUUUAUGUUGUUUAUAUUCUUUCUACAGCUUUUUAACUUAUACUUGUACAGUAUAUACUUUUAACUCUUUAUACUACUGUUUUAAUUGAUGUUCUCUAUUUUUGUUAUCCCUUUUUGCUGCUAGAAUAUUGCAAAUUCCCCCAUUGAGGGACUAAUGAAGGAUUAUCCUAUUUUUAUAGGUUACCUGACAUACAGACUGUAACAGAGGUUCAGUGAGUUCAUUGUCGGGAGGGCAUGGAAUAUCUAAUGCCUUCAGACUACAUGAUGAUGCAUAUAGUUGCAGGGCCUCAUCAUGGCAGGAUGUUGCAUUGAAGCAGAGGACCAAAAGUCAUCAUAGCAUGGGCCACCCAUUGGCUCAGUUGGUAGAGCAAGCGUCCCAUAUAAAGAGGCUGCGUCCUCGCUGCAGCGGCCCUGGGUUCAAGUCCCCGCUGGGGAUGUCACCUUCCUCUCUCUCACCCUGUUUUC